GGAUGUGAGGGCGAUCUGGCUGCGACAUCUGUCACCCCAUUGAUCGCCAGGGUUGAUUCGGCUGAUCUGGCUGGCUAGGCGGGUGUCCCCCUCCUCCCUCAGGGAUCCAUGUGUGUCCCCCCCGAAGCUGCACGCUCGGUUGAAGAGGACGACCUUCCCGCCAGAGGAGAGGACCGGUCUUCGGUCAAGGGUAUACGAGUAGCUGCGCUCCCCUGCUAGAACCUCCAAACAAGCUCUAAAAAUGUAUCUCUAAGUCAAAUAAAAAUAGGGGUAAGUUUGUAUAAGAUCUAUAGGAAAUUCUGUUCCUAAAGGCCUAAAGAACUCU
rnacentral:snRNA from 1 species